rnacentral:lncRNA from 1 species
GUGGUUGGCUUCUGCACAACAAAAUGGAGAAGACAGAAAAAGCCCACUGUCUGGUCCUCUUCUGUCCAAUCCAAGGCCACAUUAAUCCCAUGCUCCAAUUCUCCAAGCGUUUAGAGUACAAAGGACUCAGGGUCACAUUGAUCACUACCCGCUCUGUUCACAAGGCCACGCAUGAAGGAGGAGGAGAACAAUCUACAACAUCAUUCUCUUCCAUUGCAUUGGAGACCAUUUCUGAUGGCUUUGAUGGAGAAGGUGGGAGUGCCCAAGCAGAGAGCAUCCAGGCCUACAGGGACCGUGUUCGGGAAAUCGGCUCACAGACUUUGGCUGAGCUCAUUGACAAGCUCUCUGCCUCAGGCCACCCUGCGGAUUGUCUAGUUUAUGAUCCAGUUUUUCCUUGGGCUCUUGAUGUGGCCAAAAGGGUUGGGAUUGCUGCGGCUGCUUUCUUCACUGUAUCUUGUGCUGUUACCAACAUAUACUCACUUGUCCAUGAUGGGCUGCUCAAACUUCCUCUCAAUCCUGACUCUGAGAUUUUGCUGCCUGGAUUGCCACCUCUUCAACCUUCAGACACCCCAUCUUUCAUCUAUGUUCCUGAAUCUUACCCUGCUUUCCUUAAACUGUCUGUAGAUCUGUUCUCUAAUCUUUGCAAAGCUGAUUGGGUCUUCUGCAACACAUUUUAUGAGCUGGAACAAGAGGUAAACAAAAUUGACGAGGUGGUUUUCGGUUCCAAAUUAAUUCAUUCUCUUGAAAGUUAACGCGCAAAACACUGCUAGAGUCACCAAAUUUGUUCACCAAAUUAAUUAUCUGUCACUACAUGCAUCACUACCCUACAAAAUUAAUGGCUAUGACGAUCUUAUGAUUUAUGUGUGAAGUCUCCAAAUAUUAAUGACUUCUUUGACCAUAAUUAUGAUUCAACUUGCUGUUUUAUUUUUCUCUCCUUUUACGCAUAGGUGAUAGAAUAUUGGAUGACAAAGUUUUCGACAUUAAGGACGAUUGGACCAACCAUACCAUCUAUGUACCUGGAUAAGCGUCAUGAAGACAACAAGGAAUAUGGUCUCAGCCUCUUUAAGCUAAACAGUGAUGCCUGCAUGAAAUGGUUAAAUGCAAAGCCAAAAGGGUCUGUAGCAUACAUGUCGUUCGGCAGUAUUGCAGAACAGGGAGAAGAGCAAAUGAAGGAAUUGGGUUUGGGUUUGAAGAGAAGCAAACGCUAUUUCUUGUGGGUGGUGAGGACAUCAGAAUCAGUUAAGCUGCCAAAAGGGUUUGCAGAGGAGACAUCUGAGAAGGGUUUGGUGGUUUCAUGGUGCCCUCAAUUGGAAGUUUUGGCACAUGAGGCUGUAGGAUGCUUUGUCACACACUGUGGUUGGAACUCUACAUUGGAGGCCUUGAGUUUGGGAGUUCCAAUGGUGGCAGUGCCACAAUGGGCUGACCAGAGCACCAAUGCCAAGUUCAUCAUGGAUGUGUGGAAAAUAGGGCUUAAAGCUCAAGCUGAUGAGAAAGGGAUAGUGAGAGGAGAAGAAAUAGCAAAUUGUGUGAGAGAAAUAUUGGAUGGGGAGAGAGGGAAGGAGAUUCGAAAGAACGCUUCGAAUUGGAAAGCAUUGGCCAAGAGUGCAGUGGAUGAAGGUGGAAGUUCUGAUAAAAACAUUGAUGAGUUCAUUGCAAAACUGGUUCAGAAUUAGAACUAGCUAGGCAAAGCUGUGGUGUAUUUCUGAAAAAAAAUUCCUUGUACAAGUCCUCUUGUCAAAAAUGUUAUUAGGGACUGAUUAAUAAUUUCCAUGACUAAUCAUUUUUAAACGUCAGAAA